CCUACGGGAGGCAGCAGUAGGGGAUAUUGCACAAUGGGGGAAACUCUGAUGCAGCGACGCCGCGUGAGGGAAGAAGGUCUUCGGAUUGUAAACUUCUGUUUUUGGGGAAGAAAAUGACGGUAACCAAAGAGUAAGCGCCGGCUAACUACUUGCCAGCAGCCGCGGUAAUACGUAGGGAGCGAGCGUUGUCCGGAAUUACUGGGUGUAAAGGUAGCGUAGGUGGGCGGGUAAGUCGAGUGUUAAAUCUACGGGCUUAACUGGUAGCUGCUUUCGAUACUUGUAGUCUUGAGUUAAGUAGAGGUAGGCGGAAUUCCAAGUGUAGCGGUGAAAUGCGUAGAGAUUAGGAGGAACACCAGUGGCGAAGGCGGCCUGCUGGGUUUUAACUGACGCUGAGGCUCGAAAGCGUGGGGAGCAAACAGGAUUAGAUACCCUUGUAGUC
rnacentral:rRNA from 1 species